CGUUGUCCGGAUUAUUGGGCGUAAAGCGCGCGCAGGCGGAUUGGUCAGUCUGUCUUAAAAGUUCGGGGCUUAACCCCGUGAUGGGAUGGAAACUGCCAAUCUAGAGUAUCGGAGAGGAAAGUGGAAUUCCUAGUGUAGCGGUGAAAUGCGUAGAUAUUAGGAAGAACACCAGUGGCGAAGGCGACUUUCUGGACGAAAACUGACGCUGAGGCGCGAAAGCCAGGGGAGCGAACGGGAUUAGAUACCCCGGUAGUCCUGGCCGUAAACGAUGGGUACUAGGUGUAGGAGGUAUCGACCCCUUCUGUGCCGGAGUUAACGCAAUAAGUACCCCGCCUGGGGAGUACGACCGCAAGGUUGAAACUCAAAGGAAUUGACGGGGGCCCGCACAAGCGGUGGAGUAUGUGGUUUAAUUCGACGCAACGCGAAGAACCUUACCAGGUCUUGACAUUGAUGGACAGAACCAGAGAUGGUUCCUCUUCUUCGGAAGCCAGAAAACAGGUGGUGCACGGUUGUCGUCAGCUCGUGUCGUG
rnacentral:rRNA from 1 species